rnacentral:rRNA from 1 species
UACAGAGGUCCCAAGCGUUGUUCGGAUUCACUGGGCGUAAAGGUGCGUAGGUGGUCAGGUAAGUCUGAUGUGAAAUCUCCGGCUCAACCCGGAAAGGCUUGGAUACUAUCUGGCUAGAGGAGUGGAGGGGACUGGAAUACUUGGUGGUAGCAGUGAAAUGCGUAGAGUAUCAAGUGGAACACCAGUGGCGAAGGCGAGUCCCUGGA